AAAAAUGUUUUUAAAAGAACCUUUAGUCUGCAAGCCCCACCCCUGCUCCCUAUGCAUUUCCACAUGUCCUUUUUGGGUCAGACCAAUGGAAAAACUCUUUGCUAAAUUCCAAACUUUGCCUCUUCUCCUCAAAAUCAAAUAAAAGGAACCCCUGUACCUAAUCACUCCGAAAAGGGCAAGUUUUGCCUCUUUCCCAGGCCUAGGACACUCAUGUUCUACUUCAAAAUUGUUAGGUCAGAGGCCUGGGCAGCUCAGAUGUGGGGGUUGGACGCCAUGACACAGUCGGCUGACGCAACCCAGAUCUAGUCUGUCGUUAGACCUCCACUGCACCCGAAUCUAAGUCAGAUGUAGCACACGGGGCUCUACUCUGCACACAGCACCAGGCCUUACAUGGCACAGUAGCCUGCUCUCCCCCUAAACCUUUACCAUACAUGGACUGUUUCUACCUCUAAGACACUCCCCCUUCCCAAUACUCACAGAAAUCACUAAACCCUGUCCUAGGGCGCGACUUCUCUGGCCCACUUUCUCUUUCUCUUUCUCUGCCAGAGCAGUGAACCUUGCCUGGGAGUGCUCCCAAUAAAGGCUCUACGUUCUAUUUUCUCCCGUGAUCGGCCCAUUCCUUACAUUUGGCACUGAAACCCAGAAGGAGUUUUGAGUACCGCAGUCCCCGCGAGGGCCUCUCCUCCCCUGAACCAGGAACCAACCCACCUGUUGCCGACUAACCACUUGCCCUGACCUUCUAAGGAUGACAGAGAAUGAGUCCAGGCUGCAGCCUGAGAACAUGCCGACCAAGCCCACCUGCUCAACGCGACUUUACCAGUCAGACAAGUGGCUGUUCCUAUUACCAAACCUCCAUGGGACUAUCAGGUCCCUCUGAAGCCCAAUCCAAGAAGUUUCCUGUGUGGCUGUCAACUAAAUGCUCCUCCAUCCCUACACACAAGUUCCCACUGAGCCCCCAGCCCCCGACUUCCCCUCUACGCCCCAACUCACAGCAGGAAGUAGUUAAUGAUUGAACAGUGUCCUAUAACACCAAAACAGUCGUGAUGUUAGGUAGGAGGCCUGGGCAGCUUGGAUGUGGGGGUUGGACGCCAUGCCAGUCGGCUGUGCAACCCGGAUCUUAGCCUGUCAGCAGACCUGCGCUGCACCUGGAUUUAACCCGGAUGUAGCACACGGCACUCUACUCUGCACACGGGGCUCUACCUGCACACAGCACCAGACGUUACAUGGCACAGCAGUCUGCUCUCCCCCUAAACCUUUACGAUAGACUGUUUCUACCUGUAAGACACUCCCCCUCCCUAUGUCCUUAUAAAAAUCGCUAAGCCCUGCCCUAGGGAGUGACUUCUCUGGCCCCCUCUCUCUCUGUUGGACCAGAGAACCUCGCCCGGGAGUGCUUCCAAUAAAGGCUCUACAUUUCUCUUUUCUCACAUGGGCGGCCCAUUCCUUACAAAAAUAAACCACAUUAAUUAUUAGUUUUGCAGACUUGGCUACUUCCGUCAACAGAAACAACCCCAGGAGGGGACUGCGCGCGCGUAUGUGUGUGUGUCCGUGCACAUGUAUACACAUGCGUAUGCUUAUGUACCUCCCUUUAUAGAAACCAUGUUUCUGAAAUGAGAAUGAAAACAAAAUCUUACCUUCCCAACUGAGUUAGUUUAAUUGUACAGCCUCAACUUUUGUUAGUUUGGAUUAGUCUCCAAUACAGAACUCCUACUUUUAUUUAGCUCUCUGUUAUUCUUUUAUUAGUUAACAAAC